rnacentral:rRNA from 1 species
AUACGGAGGGUGCAAGCGUUACUCGGAAUCACUGGGCGUAAAGCGCGCGCAGGCGGUCUUUUAAGUUGGAUGUGAAAGCCUACGGCUCAACCGUAGAACUGCAUCCAAAACUAUUAGACUAGAGUGUGGGAGAGGAAGAUGGAAUUAGUUGUGUAGGGGUAAAUCCGUAGAGAUAACUAGGAAUACCAAAAGCGAAGGCAAUCUUCUGGAACACUAUUGACGCUGAGGCGCGAAAGCGUGGGGAGCAAACAGGAUUAGAAACCCUAGUAGUCCC